rnacentral:rRNA from 1 species
UACAGAGGGUGCAAGCGUUAAUCGGAAUGACUGGGCGUAAAGGGCGCGUAGGUGGUUGUAUAAGUUAGAUGUAAAAUCCCCGGGCUUAACCUGGGCACGUCAUUUAAUACUGUAUAACUAGAGUAGAGUAGAGGGAAGUAGAAUUUCCGGUGUAGCGGUGAAAUGCGUAGAUAUCGGAAGGAAUACCAGUGGCGAAGGCGGCUUUCUGGACUCAUACUGACACUGAGGCGCGAAAGCGUGGGGAGCAAACAGG